rnacentral:rRNA from 1 species
AGUAAUGUAUGGGGAUCGGCCCGAUAGAGGGGGAUAACUACUGGAAACGGUGGCUAAUACCGCAUAAUGUCUACGGACCAAAGCAGGGGCUCUUCGGACCUUGCACUAUCGGAUGAACCCAUAUGGGAUUAGCUAGUAGGUGGGGUAAAGGCUCACCUAGGCGACGAUCUCUAGCUGGUCUGAGAGGAUGAUCAGCCACACUGGGACUGAGACACGGCCCAG